AUAAAUAAUAUCAAGCUACAGAUUCAAUGUGCUCUGAUCACGGGCAUCAACAAAAUCACUUGAAGGGCAGGAUGAUAACGCCAUUUGCCUCAUCAUACGCUCAUCUCCUCUUGCAUAGAGCGAAACUGCUCUUCACUCUGUUGCUUGAGGCACGAUACCUCCUCCUUAACACGUUGCUGAAGAAUUCCCUCUUGAUUUUCCCUCAUACGCAUGAUCUUCUCCUCAAGCACUCUAAUACGCUCAUCAGCAACAAGAUCUAUCACCACAGCUGUCCUGCGUGAAGUGGCAGAGCUACUGAAUGAGUCUGGGUACAAAGUUAAAGCAUGAGAGCCCAAACCGUACACGCGCUGCUUCUUCUCUCCAUCCACAAUAUCCAAGUAUAGGUGAUUCACAUUGAUUGAGAUCUCUUGUAAAUCGCCAUCCUGUGAGUUCAAAGUAGCAUCAGUAGUAGUAGCAGCAGUCACCGUAGCCUCCAUAUGAUCCUGAGGAAAAACAAAGACGCAAAUGGCGAAAUGGGAAGCUAUAUCCUUGAUUUGAUGAGAUGAAA
rnacentral:misc_RNA from 1 species